rnacentral:rRNA from 1 species
AAACUAACAAGGAUUCCCCUAGUAGCGGCGAGCGAAGCGGGAAAAGCUCAAAUUUGUAAUCUGGCGCCUUCGGCGUCCGAGUUGUAAUCUCGAGAAAUGUUUUCCGUGUUAGACCGCAUACAAGUCUCUUGGAACAGAGCGUCAUAGUGGUGAGAACCCAGUACACGAUGCGGAUGCCUAAUACUUUGUGAUACAUUUUCGAAGAGUCGAGUUGUUUGGGAAUGCAGCUCAAAUUGGGUGGUAAAUUCCAUCUAAAGCUAAAUAUUGGCGAGAGACCGAUAGCGAACAAGUACCGUGAGGGAAAGAUGAAAAGCACUUUGGAAAGAGAGUUAACAGUACGUGAAAUUGUUGGAAGGGAAACACAUGCAGUCAGACUUGCUAUUCGGGGCAACUCGAUUGGCAGGCCCGCAUCAGUUUUUCGGGGCGGAAAAGCAUAGAGAGAAGGUAGCAGUUUCGGCUGUGUUAUAGCUCUUUAUUGGAUUCGCCCUGGGGGACUGAGGAACGCAGCGUGCUUUUAGCAUGAGCUUCGGCUUAUCCACGCUUA